rnacentral:lncRNA from 1 species
GGUCAUACAUCACUGUUGCUGGUACAUAGUUUUAAUUCAUAUAAUGUAAGUAAAUCACAAAGAUGUGUACACAUCUAAUUAAAGAGACUUGAAGAAGACAGUCUAUGCACCAUUCCUGUCAUUUCUGGAUGAAACUUAACAAGCAACUUAAGUGAUGGUGAAAAUAUGUUUGUUUUUUAUCAGGAUUCAAUGAGAUCUAAUAUAUUGUAUUUAAAACUGCCUAACAUUCAAUGAGGAUCAUAUGUUAAUAUUUUCCAUCAAUCCUAAAAUAGUUUUAGAGUAAAUUGUCCUGUUAAUUCAAAAGAUAGCUUUUUAAUUGGGCAAUCUAAUUCAAAAUACACUUUUGUGCCACAUUUUUCAUUUGAUCAAAACGAAAUUGUUAAAGUUUGCAAGUAGAUUCAAUGAAAAAAAUGAUUUUCCCUAGCUUAUAGUAUUGGACUAUAAUGCCACUAUGUAUGCCACUAUGUAUGCCACUUGAUCAACAAGUGAUUGUGUGCACUGGUUAAUGUUAUAAUGUACAAACAGUGGCAGAAUAGUUAUCAUUAUUUUCUUUCACUCCUGUAUAUUUUAUUUAAAUAACACAGACAAAUUGACCAGAUGUAUAUAUAUAUAGUAUCAAACUUUUACAAUUUCUAUGCAAUAAAGAAAAAGGAAACCAAAACUGAGCAUAUUAACACACAUAUUCACACAAAUCUAUACCACAUUCAUUCAUAUACAUUAAAAUGCCUUUAUAAACACUCCUUUAAGUUUGUAUCACAAAACAGCAAAAUAGAAUGAUCAUAAUGUAUGUCUUAUCUAUAAUUAUUGUGCUCUUAAAAUUUUCUUAUUGAAAAAUGAAGACCCUUCUUGAUCUCAAAUGAGAAUAUUUAAUCAAAGAGAUAUUUAUAAAUAUCACUCUUUAUAAAUUGAGAACAAUUCAGUAUUGGAUUCCCUUCCUAUUCUUGUUCUGUAUGAGAACAGAGCAUGACAUAACAACUGUUGUAUGCCCAAUGUGAAUAAUCCAAGACAUAAUUAUUUGUACAUUUUAUAAGUACAUUCUUAAAUGAGAAAUUCUCAUCUUUUAAACGAAAUUUUAAUGAAAAAUAUUUAGGUAUUUCUAUUUAACUCACUGGCUCUUAGUCAAUUAAGACCUCUCUAUCACAUUUAGCCAAGAUCAUGGUUUGAACUCACAACCUUAGUGUUGCCAGGUUAAUUGAACAAGAGGAAAUAGGUUUUGAAAUUAUUUACUUCAAAAGCUUCAUACUUUUCGCUUGGAAAUCUACAAAUGCCCUUAUCCAAGGAAAAGCAUGUUUAUUUCUUAAUUGCACACAAAAAUCUUUUGAAUGAUUCAUAUCUUAUUAAUUAAAUAUAGCUUAACAACUAUAAACCAGAUUGUACAUUGACACCCAUAAU